UAUAUUAAAAAAAACUUCCGGCAAAAAAUCCUUCCGGUGAUGUCAGCAGUCUCAAGCACAAUGAGGCCUCCUCCUAAGGCGUAUGAUAUGCGCUGUAAUGGCGGACGCCAACCAGAUCUCACAACUACAAAACAGUGCCAAAUUACGCGUAAACGUUAGGAGAAUACCAUCGCUUUAUGACAUUGUUCGGUGAGGCAAAGGUUCGGUUGGUGCAGUUCACAGUUCAUAGUACAUCUUCAGCUGAACGGAUAAAAUGACAGGACAUAAGGAAGACACUUGAGCUUGUAUUUUUGAUAUGUAGUAGUUUUGAGAUGGUUUUAUCUUUCAGAAAAUUACGCGUGUGGAUAUUACUAUUUUUAAAUACCUAAUUAGGCAGUGGACAAGACUAAUUAAUUAAAUAAUGUUUUUAUUGUAAGAGU